UGCCUAAUACAUGCAAGUAGAACGCUGAAGAGAGGAGCUUGCUCUUCUUGGAUGAGUUGCGAACGGGUGAGUAACGCGUAGGUAACCUGCCUUGUAGCGGGGGAUAACUAUUGGAAACGAUAGCUAAUACCGCAUAACAAUAGGUGACACAUGUCAUUUAUUUGAAAGGGGCAAUUGCUCCACUACAAGAUGGACCUGCGUUGUAUUAGCUAGUAGGUGAGGUAACGGCUCACCUAGGCGACGAUACAUAGCCGACCUGAGAGGGUGAUCGGCCACACUGGGACUGAGACACGGCCCAGACUCCUGCGGGAGGCAGCAGUAGGGAAUCUUCGGCAAUGGGGGCAACCCUGACCGAGCAACGCCGCGUGAGUGAAGAAGGUUUUCGGAUCGUAAAGCUCUGUUGUAAGUCAAGAACGAGUGUGAGAGUGGAAAGUUCACACUGUGACGGUAGCUUACCAGAAAGGGACGGCUAACUACGUGCCAGCAGCCGCGGUAAUACGUAGGUCCCGAGCGUUGUCCGGAUUUAUUGGGCGUAAAGCGAGCGUAGGCGGUUUGAUAAGUCUGAAGUUAAAGGCUGUGGCUCAACCAUAGUUCGCUUUGGAAACUGUCAAACUUGAGUGCAGAAGGGGAGAGUGGAAUUCCAUGUGUAGCGGUGAAAUGCGUAGAUAUAUGGAGGAACACCGGUGGCGAAAGCGGCUCUCUGGUCUGUAACUGACGCUGAGGCUCGAAAGCGUGGGGAGCGAACAGGAUUAGAUACCCUGGUAGUCCACGCCGUAAACGAUGAGUGCUAGGUGUUGGAUCCUUUCCGGGAUUCAGUGCCGCAGCUAACGCAUUAAGCACUCCGCCUGGGGAGUACGACCGCAAGGUUGAAACUCAAAGGAAUUGACGGGGGCCCACACAAGCGGUGGAGCAUGUGGUUUAAUUCGAAGCAACGCGAAGAACCUUACCAGGUCUUGACAUCCCGAUGCUAUUUCUAGAGAUAGAAAGUUACUUCGGUACAUCGGUGACAGGUGGUGCAUGGUUGUCGUCAGCUCGUGUCGUGAGAUGUUGGGUUAAGUCCCGCAACGAGCGCAACCCCUAUUGUUAGUUGCCAUCAUUCAGUUGGGCACUCUAGCGAGACUGCCGGUAAUAAACCGGAGGAAGGUGGGGAUGACGUCAAAUCAUCAUGCCCCUUAUGACCUGGGCUACACACGUGCUACAAUGGUUGGUACAACGAGUUGCGAGUCGGUGACGGCAAGCUAAUCUCUUAAAGCCAAUCUCAGUUCGGAUUGUAGGCUGCAACUCGCCUACAUGAAGUCGGAAUCGCUAGUAAUCGCGGAUCAGCACGCCGCGGUGAAUACGUUCCCGGGCCUUGUACACACCGCCCGUCACACCACGAGAGUUUGUAACACCCGAAGUCGGUGAGGUAACCUUUUGGAGCCAGCCGCCUAAGGUGGGAUAGAUGAUUGGGGUGAAGUGG
rnacentral:rRNA from 1 species